rnacentral:rRNA from 1 species
GACGAACGCUGGCGGCGUGCUUAACACAUGCAAGUCGAACGAUGAAGCCGGAGCUUGCUCUGGUGAAUUAGUGGCGAACGGGUGAGUAACACGUGAGUAACCUGCCCUUGACUCUGGGAUAACUGCUAGAAAUGGUAGCUAAUACCGGAUACGACCCUCGGAGGCAUCUCCAGGGGGUGGAAGGAAUUUCGGUAAAGGUUGGACUCGCGGCCUAUCAGCUAGUUGGUGAGGUAACGGCUCACCAAGGCGACGACGGGUAGCCGGCCUGAGAGGGUGACCGGCCACACUGGGACUGAGACACGGCCCAGACUCCUACGGGAGGGAGCAGUGGGGAAUAUUGCACAAUGGGCGCAAGCCUGAUGCAGCAACGCCGCGUGAGGGAUGACGGCCUUCGGGUUGUAAACCUCUUUUAGUAGGGAAGAAGCGAAAGUGACGGUACCUGCAGAAAAAGCACCGGCUAACUACGUGCCAGCAGCCGCGGUAA